GCCGGGUGUGGUGGCGCACACCUGUAAUCCCAGCUACAUGGGAGGCUGAGGCAGGAGAAUCGCUUGAACCCAGGAGUCGGAGGUUGCCGUGAGCCAAGAUCUUGACACUGCCACUCCAGCCUGGGCAACAGAGCAAGACUCCAUCUCAA
ensembl:misc_RNA Metazoa_SRP Metazoan signal recognition particle RNA